CCCUUAGAUGUUCUGGGCCGCACGCGCGCUACACUGAUGCAUUCAACGAGCCUAUCCUUGACCGACAGGUCCGGGUAAUCUUUGAAUCUGCAUCGUGACGGGGAUAGAUGAUUGCAAUUCUUCAUCUUCAACGAGGAAUGCCUAGUAAACGCAAGUCAUCAGCUUGCAUUGAUUACGUCCCUGCCCUUUGUACACACCGCCCGUCGCUCCUACCGAUUGAGUGAUUCGGUGAAUAAUUCGGACUGCAGCAUUGCUUGGAUUCCGAGCUUUGCAGCGGAAAGUUUAGUGAACCUCAUCACUUAGAGGAAGGAGAAGUCGUAACA
rnacentral:rRNA from 1 species